GGUCAGACAGUAAAAUGUCAUAUCUUUCCCUCGCCCCUUUUUCUUAGGUAUUACUACCUUGCUUUCCGGGCUCACCAGGUUCCUGCCACCAGCAAAGAGAAUGCCGUUGCCAUACUGGAGCGGGCCAAACUAGAAAACUGGGUCUUAGGGAAGACGAAGGUAAAGUGGUGAUGACCAUACUGGAGCGGGCCAAACUAGAAAACUGGGUCUUAGGGAAGACGAAGCCUAGAGGGGCCACACUGCCCGACAGAAUCUCAAGCAAACCAGGAAGGAGUGGGAAGCUGCAGCUGUUUGCAUAAAAUCAGGUAUGAGGGCAGACACAUUUCCAGUGAUGAGAGAGAGAAGGUUGCCUCCGACAACCAUAAUAGACAAGUGAGAGACGACAGCAGAGACAAAGGGAUAGAAGACACAGUAGUGAAGCCUUGCAGGGAGACAGGCAGUCUGCGAGACACACAGUGUAAACAAGGUAAGCCCGA
rnacentral:lncRNA from 1 species